GCACACGAAGAAAAGAAAAAGGAAAGAAGCGUGUGCUGACUGUUGUUAUCGUCAGACCCCAAGAAAUGGAUCCGAAGACGGAGAAGCUGGUGAGGCGAACGACCAUGGUGGCUACUGUAACCGCUGCUUAUUUCCUUCUAACAGCGGACUACGGUCCCAAUCCUAAUGUCCUCGAUCCUAUCAAGAGGGCAAUACAAUCAGCCAAGCUUUCCGUGAAGGGAUUCUUCCUUAACUCAGAAAAAGAGAUUCAAGAAAACAGAGACGGAAAAGCGGAAUCUAGUAAUGCAAAAGAUAAGUCAUAGAGCACGAGUUUUCUCAGGAAGAAGAUGACCAGACCUGCCUGAUUGUUUUGGGCCGAGCCAUACAUGGACCAAUGGAAAGGAUCAAACUGGAGGACGAUUAUGAUCAUCAACGACGACUGCAGGAGCAUCUUGCUAGAAAUCAAACGUUGAAGCACAAGCUACAUCAUCAAGGCAAUGCUACAACGGAUAUAUUUGGCUUCUACAACCGUUUUGGACUUUAUGGAAUGGCUGAAUUCCACUCCCUCUUUUUUGAAUUUUGUCGCAUAUAUUGACUCUUUUGUGUUUGCUUUUGCCAAGCGAGUGUUUGAAUGAGAAAAUCCUAACCGUUGAUAUUGAAAAACCCUUUAGAAAUUGGUUAAUGUGAAAAGCAAUAAAAAUGUUGAAAGGUUAAUAGUCAA